AUGAAAGUGAUCCCCUUCACCUGCUCUGGGUGUAACAGCAGUCUUUCCGAAGCUGUGAAGGCUAAAAUUUACAUUAAGGGUAAAGGGAUUUUCUGGAUGAUGAAAUAUGACAUCCAUGAGCAUCCACUCCAAGAGUCUAAACCAUCCCAGCAACCUGACCACAGCUGGUCUUCCCUGGCCACCUUGAACCACACUGUCAAAACCUUCUUCACUCCUGCCAACACUGGCCAUCCUCCUAACUAUGAGACAAUCAAGAAGGAGCACGAGGUGACUGUGCUGGGGGCGCCCCACAACCCUGCUCCCCCGACAUCCACCGUGAUCCACAUCCGCAGCGAGACCUCCGUGCCCGACCCUGUCAUCUGGUCCCUGUUCAACACCCUCUUCAAGAACUCCUGCUGCCUGGGCUUCAUAGUGGUUGCCUACUCCGUGAAGUCUAGGGACAGGAAGAUGGUUGGCAACCUGACAGGGCCCAGGCCUACGCCUCCACUGCCAAGUGCCUGAAUAUCUGGGCCCUGAUUUUGGGCAUCAUCAUGACCAUUCUGCUUGUCAUUAUCCCCGUGUUGAUCCUCCACAUCUAUCGAUAGAGCAGGAGGCAGCCUCCAGGCCAGGAGCUCUGCCCAUGACCUGUAUCUCGUGUACUCCAUCUUCCAUUCCUCGCCCUGCCCCCCGAACCGAGUUCUGUAUCAGCCCUUUAUCCUCACACACUUUGCUACAAUGGCAUUCAAUAAAGUGCACGUGUUCCUGGAAAAAAAAA